CUCCCAAAUUCUCUUCAAAAUUCCGUUUUUCCUCGUAUGUUUUUUUUUUUUUAAAUUCAUACCAUAACAAAUACACAUAGUUAACAAACAUCACUGAAAGCCCAUAAGGCCCGUCGAUACCAUCACAAGGUAAAAAAAGAGUUAUCUCUACCCAAAACGUAUCGAGAGAUAUUGGAGUAUAACAAUGCCAAGUGUUGCACAAGAAAGUGAUAUGCUUUUCCAUCAUCCUCUGCCACUUGGACUCUGAUUCCGGUGAAUAAAAUCAAUACCGGAGAAACACGACACAAAAAGAAAAUAUUGAAACCAGCCACCGUCUAUGAAAACCGACUGAUGGUGGAAAAGGAACCG